rnacentral:rRNA from 1 species
ACGAACGCUGGCGGCGUGCCUAAUACAUGCAAGUCGAACGCUUCUUUCCUCCCGAGUGCUUGCACUCACUUGGAAAGAGGAGUGGCGGACGGGUGAGUAACACGUGGGUAACCUACCCAUCAGAGGGGGAUAACACUUGGAAACAGGUGCUAAUACCGCAUAACAGUUUAUGCCGCAUGGCAUAAGAGUGAAAGGCGCUUUCGGGUGUCGCUGAUGGAUGGACCCGCGGUGCAUUAGCUAGUUGGUGAGGUAACGGCUCACCAAGGCCACGAUGCAUAGCCGACCUGAGAGGGUGAUCGGCCACACUGGGACUGAGACACGGCCCAGACUCCUACGGGAGGCAGCAGUAGGGAAUCUUCGGCAAUGGACGAAAGUCUGACCGAGCAACGCCGCGUGAGUGAAGAAGGUUUUCGGAUCGUAAAACUCUGUUGUUAGAGAAGAACAAGGACGUUAGUAACUGAACGUCCCCUGACGGUAUCUAACCAGAAAGCCACGGCUAACUACGUG